UCUCUCAAAACCCUAAAAUCCAUAGCCCGCUCCCCUCCCCUCCCCUUUGCACACACAAGCCAGUACAAACACACACGUUUUUGUGGAAAUCAGAAGCAUGAAGCUUUGGUGUGGUUGCAAUCGAGGGGAAAAAGAUCGAGGUGUAACCGCAACUGGAUGCUUAAGUUUAGGAAAACAAGGGUUUGGUAUAAUAGGGUUUUGGUUGCUGUUUUUCAGAAGUAGAAGGCGGAGGUGGCCCCAACUGAUAUGAAGCCUGCAUUUAUCAGAUUUCCAGGUUUAUCUAUACUAUAUAAGAAGAUGAAGAGAGAGAGGUUGAGAUGGUUUCUGUGCUCUGGAACUUCAAAGAAGAAGAAGAUGAAGAUAUGGGGAUGGUUUCCAUGCUCUGCAACCUCAAAGAAGAUGAAGAGCUAUCACCUAUGAGCUUCAGAAGAUAUGGGGGAUGGAAAAAGGAGAAAGUGUUUCAUAGAGAGUUGACUACUUGACUUGGUCAAGUUAUCUGUUACCAUUUUGGCUCCGUUCUGUUGGGUUCUUAAGAUUGCUUCUUAACAUUGCUUUCUCAGUUGAUAUGAUAUGGUCAAUAAAAUUCCACUCAUGCUGGAAAUUCUUUCUAAAGAAUUAGGACCACAAUUGGUUGAAGAAUGCUAUGAUUUUUUAUACUUGGCGUCAACAACUCACAAUAUUUGGGUUCGAAUCUUUUACAAGUCUGGUGGCAUGACUGUUUUAGGACCUCGGAUUCCAAUCUUAACGGACGGUAUAUUUCAUAUAAAUUAUAACCGAAGUGUAUUAUUUUAGUUUCAAGGUUUGAGUAUCAUAUCUGGAUAUGGAUUUAAUAUUCCUGAAAUGUAUUUAUGUAUGAAACAUUCCCUCGACACAGUUAUAAAAGAGAACUAUUCAGAAUUGUCA